UACGUAGGGGGCAAGCGUUGUCCGGAUUUAUUGGGCGUAAAGAGCGUGUAGGCGGCCAGGUAGGUCAGCUGUGAAAACUCGAGGCUCAACCUCGAGACGUCGGUUGAAACCAUCUGGCUAGAGUCCGGGAGAGGAGAGUGGAAUUCCUGGUGUAGCGGUGAAAUGCGCAGAUAUCAGGAAGAACACCCGUGGCGAAAGCGGCUCUCUGGAACGGUACUGACGCUGAGACGCGAAAGCGUGGGGAGCGAACAGG
rnacentral:rRNA from 1 species